CUGGGAAUAACAAUCACGUCAACUUUACCAUUCCUGAUAGGGCCAUAUAACUCAACUCAUCACUCUUGUGACUUUCUUGACCAAAACACCCCUCCCUGAUUACAGUACUCCUAGAUAUUUUGCCUUCUCCUAACAAUAUAUAAGACCUUGAGGGAUGUCUCCUCUCCUUCCUCCCACUUUCCUCCCAAGGAUAUAAUAGAAUUCAGAUCAUGCAACAUCAUGCCCCUGGAAGAAAGCAAUGGAAAGACCGACUGGGAAAAAGUAGGUGGCAACAUUUUGCUAGCAAUGAUGAAGAAAAUGGCAUCUAAUAAAUCAUUUAGUUAAUUAGAAUUCUCCUCUAGUCCAAGGUUGUAUUGUUCCUUGAAACAAUCCUUGCAAUAUGUAGUCUAUAACCUUUUCUAUUCUCGAAGAGUUUUUGAGUAUUCUCUGGUUUCUCAUUGUCCUCCCAUGUGCCCAAGGCCAAGCCUGGUGGGACAGUCACCUCCUGGACACCGCGUCUCUGCAUGACUAAUGAGACUCUGCCCCUCUCUGCCUUUACAACCAUGAUCAAUCCUCUAAUUGUUUCUACCCCUCACUCUUUCUCCCAUUCAUGAGAUUAUAAAAAUCCCUGCAAUCUCCCAGACCUCAUCAGGUCUCAUUGGAGUUAGAAAGAUGACUAUCUAUAUGGCGCUUUUACUCCGGGGUUCAAAGGAUUCCUCUUGUUUGGCAAAACCAAAUGAUUCUUGGGUUUAGAUUUUAAUAAGAGAAGCCCUAAUGUGCAGUAUCUAAGCCUGUA
rnacentral:lncRNA from 1 species